UACGGAGGGGGCGAGCGUUGUUCGGAAUCAUUGGGCGUAAAGGGCGCGUAGGCGGCCGUCCAAGUCGGGUGUGAAAUCCCUCGGCUCAACCGAGGAACUGCACUCGAUACUGGUCGGCUAGAGUCCGGGAGGGGAUGGUGGAAUUCCCAGUGUAGCGGUGAAAUGCGUAGAUAUUGGGAAGAACACCGGUGGCGAAGGCGGCCAAUCUGGACCGGAACGUGACGCUGAGGCGCGGAAAGCCAGGGGAGCGAAUGGG
rnacentral:rRNA from 1 species